rnacentral:rRNA from 1 species
GCAUGCAGUUAUGCAAUGAGAGUUGUACUAAGGUAGCACAAUACAUCGUCCUUUAAUUGGGGAAGGGAAUGAAUGGUUUGUCAUGGAUAAGCUGUCUUUAAAUUAUAAAGUGAAAUUUCCAUUUAAGUGAAAAGGCUUAAAUUAUUGUAAAAGAAGAGAAGACCCUAUCGAGCUUAAUUAGAAAUUAAUAAAGUUAUUAUUUUUGAAUUUUUAUUGGGGCAAUAGGGGGCUAUGUUUAACGCCUCUUUGUUUUGUGAGGAUCCUAUUUGAUAGAUAAUAAGCAAAAGCUACCGUAGGGAUAACAGCGUAAUUUUUUUUUUGAGACCUUAUUGGAAAAAAAGUUUGCGACCUCGAUGUUGGAUUAUACAAAGUUACAUUAGUUCAACU